rnacentral:siRNA from 1 species
GACCACUUGAUCACUGUGCACAUG